CCGCCCUGGGCGCCUUCGCCCACCUGGUGUGCCUGCCCGGCCGAGCAGCCAAGCCGUUCCCAGUGCUGUUCGGUGGCGACAAGCUCGGAACGGCGCGGGGUGGGGGGCGGGCAGCCCGAGCAGGGCCGGCUCUGAAGUGACCGUGGAGCCCAGCUGACGAGGGGACUCACCUGGCUAGCCCCGUAAGGCCGCUGAACCAGCACCGGGGUCACACAGCCUUCCACCAAGUCACACUUAUUUUUUUUAAUCCGCCACCAAGUUUAAGUGGCAAACAUGCAGUUAAGCUUAAAUGAACAUGUGAGCAUAGAUGUUACCUUAUUCAAAGAAUUCAUUCACAGACAAGUAAGAUUAAAAUCUGAUAAUAGAUUCUUGGGCAAAACUUGUCACCUAGAAGUAUAGACAGUUGAAGUCAAAGAGUGCUUUGUAUAGAUGUAUCCAUAUAUAUUUGGAAGGGGGUAAAAAUCAAGUCCAAGGAGAAAAGGUUGUUACCCUUCACUAGCUCAGUUUACUUGGAACAUUAAACCACUGAGGUAUCAAAUGUGGAAGUGAGCUGGAUCGGUGAAAUGCAACCUUUCACUGUGACUGAAGGGAACAUUACAGCAUCACUGCUGAUGAUAUUCACCAUUAUCAGAAAGAGAAAGAAAAAAAAAUAGCCAGCAGAUGAAUAUCAAACUAAAUCUCAUCUUAAAUACACAUGUAUUGAAUAAAGCACUAACUUUAUUUUAUUUUCUCUCCAACCCUUAUUUUGAGCCUGUGAAGGGGGAAAAUGUUUGCUGUUGAGGAAGCUGGUUCCAAAAUCCACUACAGAUGACCAGCAGUGGUCCAGUAGGGCAAACAGAGGGUAAUUGUGCAGCUUGCCAGAAGAUUCUCUGGGAUGGAAGUUUACAUUUCUCAAAAUACUUCUCAUUUCAUGAGAAAGGGAGAAAAUGUAUUUGAACAGAAGGGAAAGCAGAUCAGACUUUGCAAUACUUUCCAAAAUACCAUCCAUUUAUCUCGACUAGGGGGACGAUAAAGAGAAAUUGAAAUGUCAGAGCAUCCAUUCAUGGCAUGGUCAGCAUCAGACGGAGGAGAAACUCUUGCCCUUCAAACCAGCGUCUCCCCACCCAGCCACUGAUUGCCAUCACCUACAUCAGCUGCCUGGCUUCAUUGAGGCCAUGUAGAGGUGGAGCUGCCUGGACCCCAGAAGACAGGCUUUUUUGUUUUAAGGAGCUCCACAGAUCACUCUGUGCCUGUACACUCAUCUUAACACAGCAAAGUUAGCAAAUAUGUUCAGCUAAAAGAAAAUGAUAACAUCUUAAAGAUAGCAUUGAGUAUGAUUUGGGGGCAGGAUUUGGUCUACUGAAGAAUAUUAACUCACCCUUUGAGGUAAUAUCUACUUUAUCUGUUGAAAAAAAAUACAGCUUUGUUUACUCUCUGUUGGUAUUUGCCCAACAGAAAGUAUUGUCUAGUUUUGAAAACAUAUCAGGCCACACAAAAGAGCUGCCAGGCUCUUAGUGAGCUGAUGAUUCCUUUUUGCAUCAUCGUUUUCCUUAUCUUGGGAUCCAGGCUGUCAUCUUUAAUUAUUUUAAAAUGAACUGCCGCAUCUUUAUCAGAAUAUUUUAUCCCCUGGUCACUCUUCUAUCUCUUCCUUAUCCAUAAAAGCAAAGAAUUGUGAUUCAUUUUAUUUGAUUAUUGGUGUUUUGCUUCAUUGCUUCUUAAAUUGAGGAAACUUUAAAAAAAAUAUAUAUUCAGCUUCCCUUAAUAUUCUGGCUCUCUAUUGUGAGUGCCCUUCCUGGCUGCUCAGCUCUUUCCAGCAGACUUUUCUCACAUUCUGGGUGAUGAAAUGCUGUGUCUUCCUUCCAGUUUGCCUGGAACUAAUCAGCUCUGUGAUGCUGGAGAGGAAAGACUCCUGGAGUCUAGAACAGGUGAUGCACAAGCCCAGCUGUUCUGUCUGCAUUAUUCAAUUUCUCCUGCUUUAUCAACCACAGAUCUUAUGUCCUGGUCCCUGUGCCCUUCCCCACCAGCCCAAACACCAUGGCCCUUUCCUGUGUACACCAAUUUCCUUUAUUUUAAUUGCAGCCUCUUACUCACAAAAAUCAAAGUCUGAUUUACACAAUCUAGUCCCACAAAGCAUGGGCAAUAUAUAGAUAAAUAUAUAUAUACACAUAUACAUAUCUGUAGAUAAAUGCCUAGGUAGCUACAUUUCUAUUGGUUCAGCACAACACGUGCAUCCAGUGAUCAACAAAAUGCAAAUUUGGAAAAGUGGGGGUGAAGCAAAAUGGGUUUUAGCAUUUUCAUUAUUACAGACAGAAUGUAAUAAAGCAGCUCUAUACCACGACACCCAAAGAGUCAUCUUAUAAUCUACAUGUGCCUCUCAAGAGCCAUUAAUUAAAUAUUUUACCAUAUUAGGUUUAAAAUUAAGAAAUAUUCUGUGCAGAAUUGCAAUCUCAUGAACCUGCAAAUACAAGAGGAUGGGACACGGAGGUAGAGUAGAAGUGGACCAAAUAUACAGACUAGGAAGACGUAAGGGUGGGGCACUGGGCACUAAGCUUCCCUGGUACAGACAAGAACUUGAUGAGAAGAGGCCCAAAGAGUGGUGUAGGGCACCCCACAGAGCAAUCAGAGCUCCACACCAGAGAGCAGAACAGUAACUGGCAUGAGAGCAGAAGCUGAAAUGAAAGCUGACAGUGGAACAAAUGUUGGUCGGUGAAACACAGGCUGAUUAUAUACCAGUUAGCAUUGAUUCGUGUGCCAAGAAUAACAGCAGGCACUGCAACAGAGUGGGGGAGUGUGAGGCACUGAGAAAGAGCUCAGCACAACAGAGCAGGAGAUGAUUAAACAAACAAACAAACAAACAAACAAACAAACAAACAAGCCCUCACCCCAAGGAGGAAAUUAUUAAAGCAGCAUGAACAUAGAGCAGCAGCCGUCUUCUGCGGGAAGCAAAUUCUGCAGUGAGCCUGCAGACUAGGAAAGCCCACAAAUGGCAACUCUGCAUUACUGGGGGAAAAUGGAAUGGUGAGAGCUGCUAGCCAGCAUAUGUUUGACCUUUCUGAGAAAAGUGGCAUAAGCACCUUCAUUAAUGACCACGGCAGGGAGAAGAGCCGUUCUGGAAGGAGGUUUGAUUUCCGGACCAUCUGCGAUCCCGCCUGCCAAGCAAGGGGAAGGCACCAGCCAGCCCGGGCCCUGGCCAGUAUUCCUCUUCACAGGCAAGGGAAGGUGAGAGAGGCUUCUCCUCACUUCUCAUGUGCAGGGAAUCUCAUUUAACUCUUGAGCACUUGGGGACCUGUCGGAGAUUGUGCAAACGAAAGGCACUGCUCACUUGAGCAGAAGCAGAUCUGGGCUCUCUGUGACCACCUCUUACUGGGAGGAAGGAAAGGAUAGCCAGCAGAAAGACCCAAUGGAUUAAACCAUUUCAGGUCUAGUAUUUCACAUGGACAGCGAGUGUUUUGGUAUCCAUCAAGACACAAGACACUUCUUUCUUUCUUUCAAGCACACUUGGCAAGUAUUUUUCAUCUCCUUUGUUACAUUUUAUCAAUGAGAGGGGUAAAGCUGGAAGGUAGCAAAACCCAUUUUGCUCACUGAAAAGAAUAUGUGAUCGUGGAAAUAUCUGGCUGUCACAUACAAAUACAUACAGAUGGGAAGUGCUGUGAAGAAAACACAGAUUGGUUGGCCUCAUCUCUACAGGAGAGUUUAGUACCGUGACUCACAAGAAUUUGUUUGCAAAGUUGGGAUGUACUUCAAGAAUUAUGAACAACCUGAGGACUUGGGCAAACAGGAUAGUAUAAAAAGAUCAAUUGUUAGGGGUGUUACCAGCCCACAGAGGUAUCUCAAAGCACAAAUUAGCCCAUUUCCCUUCAUGCCUAUGAUGCAAGACAAUGCCCGUAUUUAUAACGGAUGACUGGAUUCUGUCACAGGAAGAAUUAGGUACUCCUGGAGCUAGUAAAAGUAUGGAAUGGGAUGGGAAAAAAGUGUGACAUAAUUCACCUGGGAUCAAAGAAGAAGGUGUGUUGUCUUGUGCUGAGAUAUUUUCAAGCAAUGCUGAGGAGGAGGAGGAGGAGGAGGAUCUGGUUAUGCUGCAGAACUGUCCACUGCUGCUUAGGCUAAGUGCCACAGCCAGGAAAGACAUGAUAGUGGAUCCAGGAAGAGUCACCUGAGAAGUUGUCCACAGUGUCAUGGAAGGUCACUAGCUAAGUCUCCACAGCAGCCUGAUUGAGCUGUCAGUGUGCACUUCUCAUCAGCUGCCCUUCAAAAAGAGGAUUUUAAACAGACAAAGGGGAAAAGGGCUACUCAUGAGUAGAGUCCCUCUGUUUCUGAAGGGUAGAUCAAAUAGCCUGUUUUGUGUAGCUGUGUUAACAGAAGACUGAGAGAAGGUUGGAUUACAUUUGAGUAAUAAAUACAGGAAGAGAGAGGAAUUAUUUCCAUUUAGAUAAAAGCUGCUACAAGAUCAAGCAGCUGUACACUGACCCUGAAAGAAUUUGGCUUGGAAAGAAGAAAUUUAACUUUCAGAAAUAAAGUGCCAGAGCAGCCUUUGAACAGGGAUGCUGAGAGAGGGUAUUUGACUGUUACAAGAUAACCUUGGAUUAAUUUACAGAAGAGAUUGUGUGAAUACUGGGAUGGUUCUUGGGUUAAGAAAAGAUGGUAACAGAUGGGGUUUCAAUUGCUUUAGUGUUACUCAGAAUUCCAGUCAAAAGGAGACUUAGUCCCAUGUGUUUGUGACACAAUAUUUAGCUGCUGAGUCUCAUGCUAGGCCAGGUUCCUGGUUAUCCUGGUGCCAGGACAGAUUUUCUCUUCUGUGCUUGAUGCUGUUCAUUUUGGGUUUGUUUGAACUUUUUUUAGGGUACUACAGCUUUUUCAGCCAGCACCAGGAUGUUGGUCCAGGUGUGUGGAUGCCUCAGUGUCAUGGGGACAACUUUUCAGCAGUGCACCAGUUUGCAUCCCCCACUGGCCUCAAAGUAGUGCAGCAAGCAAUUUUGCUAGCUCUUUUCCAUGAAAUUUUAAGUGGCAUUAGAUAACCUGGAGGAAGUCUCUCAUGUCUGGCAGCUAAACUGAGAGCAUGAAACUGAAAAAGAAUAUGAUGAAAAAAGGCACUGCCAUUUGCAAUUGAGAUGUCUUUGCAACUCAGGGGUUUUUUCCUCUGAUCUGAACCGAGUCCAAUUCUGCAAAGAUUUCUGCACAUCAGUAGAUCUGAGUUGGGAGAGAUCUUCUCAUUUUGGGGAAAGUUUGCCUACAGAAACCAUGACUAUUUGUAAAGUACAGCUUUCAGUCUCUACCCUUCCCAAGCUGAACACUCAUCCAGGUUUUCUUGUUUUGUUAGAACAAGAGAAACAAAUCCUAUCAGCUGACAACAAAUUGAAAAUGUUGCAUAUAAACACCUGAAAAGGUACAAACCAUUUACAUAUAACCAACAGAGCUGUUAUGUAAAGUGCACAUUUUUAACCCAAGAAUAUUUCCCAGCUGCUAGUCUAUAAUCUAAAUGAGCAUGAAGUCUUCUUCCUUCAGCAGGAGCACUAUUUAGUGAAAAUCUCCUUCAGAACCAGUCUUGGCAGCCAUUAAACAUGCUGGAUGUGCUUAGCCUAAACCAUUUGACAGCAGGAUCUUUCAGAGGACUGAUAACUGAGUAAGACUUAAACCUGUUAAAAACCUAUUUUCUGCCAUAGCAUAAAUACAUACCUGCAGCUGGUAUGAAGCCCAAGUCUCUAUUUGUUUUGAAUUUGUGCCUCAAAUUGAAUUGUCACAAUUAACUUCCUGCAAUCCACUUAGCUGGGUUUUAAGCUAAACAAUACCACACAGAAGAACAGAAGUUAAUGUUCUGAUUUGUGUAUGGCCUUGAAAUUUGGGUGCAAAGUAGGCCAAAUUUAUGUAAAGUUUGCCAAAUUCCAUGGGAAUGUGCACUGUGGCUGCUGCAUCAGGGCAAGAAUAUGAAUUGAAUCUAAGCAAGACAGGAGUUGAAAAUCACCUCUGAUCUCACUGCCUGUUCUUGCUUCCUCAAAGUCCUUUAAGAGACCACUCUGUCAUUACAGAGAUGAAUUUGGACUCUUGAGAUUGAGGGAGAAGCUCCAGGUCUCAUACAUGCUUCCAAUUCUUGGAUAAACUAUUUGUGUCAAUGCUUUAAUCUCUGGUAAAAUAGCAGCAGAAAUACAAAGGGGACAGAAUAUGGUUGCAUUUUUAAAGUGUGAUAGAGCCAUGAUCUACCAAGCAGAAGGGUUUAUAAAAUCCUUAAACAAGAUAAACUGGGUUCUUUCUGAGACAAGUGCAAAAAUACAGGCAGAAAAUGGAGUGGUAAUUCCUUGCAAUACUUGACACAAAGGUUUUCUACUGAUUUUAUAUCUCACAUUUAACAAGAUGUGAGGCUAAAUUAUGAGAUGCAAUUAAAAUUGCCAGAUUGACCACAUGACCUCAGGGAAUGCCUCACGGAGCUUGCAACAUGAGAGCAUUAGCACACCAUGGUGCUGCUGAUGUAACAUCUCUGAAAACAUUUUAAACCAAGCCUGUAUUGCAUUCAAGAAGGGUGGCACUUCCUGGAUUACAGGAUGGUGCAAAGAGCGACGGUGACAUAAAGGCAGAAAUACAGCAGAAGCAAAUUGUUCUCUUAGCUGUCUGCUAGAUCAGUUUGGUGCAAACACAUUGUCUUGUUUCUUGGAACUCAAUGAAAUUAUCUUAUUGGGGGUCUUGCUGAACCAGGGUUGUGUGCUUUCCAUUCAUCUCUGCUCCAGCUGCCACCUCUGGGAGUUUCAUCCAGGCUUACAUUUUGCAGCUGGGAAAGAAAGUCCUGGGUAACCAGGACUUUGCCCAGGGGAUCUAUUUUUGUCCAAGCUUUCAGGAUCAGUCUGCUGUCUGUGUACCAAUCAUUACAUUAUUCUGUUUAGUCACCAAGCUCACAUCUAAGGGCAUUCAGGACUAAAACUUGUCAAAAAACUAUUUUCAUGUUGAGAUUGGUUUAUGUUUCAAUGCAUGACUUGCAAAUCAAAAACUGCAACUCUUAUUAGCCUCCUUUGUGAGAAGAUGAGGCAGCAAUGCUUGCACCAUCAGAAUUAUCAGUAGCUUGGCAGAUACAAGGUUUUGGAUUGCUUAGAGGUGGGACCCUGCUGCCUAACUCAGGACAUUGCUUUACCUCAGUACCAUGGAGGUGAAUCUCUUGCCUCAUCUUGAAUAGAAAAUUGCAGCCUCAGUUGCAUUUUAAUGACAACUAGACCUCACCAAGGGGGUCGCAGUAUGAGCAUCCCCAAGAACAUCACAGGGCACUUCCUAUCACAGGGGGAUGCUACAGCCCUGGAGCAGCUCCAGUGCAUGUAAGAUUUUUUUUUUUUUACGUGUACCCUGAAGUUAAUAAAAAUACAUCUUCCUACUCUGUGCAAUGCCCUCCCUGCAAGGGGCUUCACUCCUGACCAAGGGUCAUUUAUACAUUCAUAUUUGUUCUCACCACCUUGUUGAUGCCUGAGGCACAGCCAGGAGAGCAGGAGGAUUGAUGAGAUAGCCCUAUGGCCCAAAACAAAGUGCUCUGAGAUUGCCUGAAGUAAAUUUGCAGUUGACCCUUCUGGCAGGUCUGCCCACAUUUCUUCUGAGCUCUGACAACCUCUUGCAUCCCAAGGGUCUGCACAAGAGGCAAACAGCUUCUGAACAGCAGGCUGGGCAGAUGGACUAGGAGGCAUUUACAAAGCUCCUGGCUCUUGUAGGGUGCAGCAGACUGUGUUUAAAAUCAAUGUCUCUGUGUCAGACACUUAGGAGCAUUUAGGGCAGAGAUGCUGCCACAGAUUCUCUGUCCCCAUGCACCUCCCCCAGGUUAGCAGGGGUAGGGACAAGUAUCAGGUGUGCUUCACAAGUGGGGAGAGGGAUGAAGGGAAACUGGAGGUCCCCAAAAAGAGGGAAAGCAUGGAGGUAGGGGCAUGGUGGCUAAUGCCACCUCCUUUUUCUACUCCCUGGCCACAGCACAGCCCCUCUGCAGAGCUACCACCCUGGGUAUUGGCAGGACUGUGGCACCCUGGCUUCAGUGCUGUGCUGAAAAAUGCAUGUUGAACUGGGAAUGAGCUGAGCUUUUGACAAGAUGCUCAUGUUCAGCACUCAGAGGAGCAUGGCCUGCUUCACCUACUAAAGAGGACAUUUGAAGGAUGCUUAUCUUUUCAGGGCAAGCUGGUAGCUAAUAUAAUGUGGUCUGUAACUUAGCAGAAAAAUGCAUAACAAAGUCCUAUAGCAAUGCUGGUUUUAGAACAAUUAAUUAGAAAUUGUGCAGUUAGCCAAAGAAGACAGGAAUUUUUUAACAGGGAAGAUAAUUAGCAUCAGGGACAGAGGAUGAGUGGUGGGACUGUUUCUGUCAGACCAGGAAGUCCUAUCUGCUCUAAUACUGCACGUUUCUUGGCUGCUGUAAGAGGCCACAGAAGAGCAUCAAAAGGGUCCUUUCUGCUUUUAAAAGACAGAAAGUCACCUUCUCCCUCCUACUUGUAACAGAUUGACUAGUUUUGUUCUAGUGACACCAUCCUCUUUGAUAAUCCUGCUGUCAAAUUAUUCCCCUCCUCUGUUCACAUUGCCUUGGGCACAGGUUCCUCCCAGGGGCUGGGCUGGAGCAGGCUGACUGCCCCUGACCCUCCAAGUCCCACCAUGGCCCCCCUUCACUGGCCAUCUUUGCUACUUACCUUUGGCCUCAGAGCAGCUGUAGUCUCUGCUCUUGUGCCCCAUGGAAGCUGCUCUCCCUGCACCACUCCACCUCCUUGAGGCUGAUGUUGUUUGCAACCUUCCCGGGGCAGACUGCCUGACUCCACGCUCUGCAUGGGUCAGGAAAACCAGGGCGUUUUCUCAGCUCUCAGCAACAGCAGGUCAAGCUCCCCAGAAGGGGGCUACAAAAUGAGGGUCAUUUUCUUCUUUCGUAUUGAUUCUUCUCUCCACUGAACAUGAAGCAGGAAUUUGAGUUAAAUGGAGUGUGGAUUUUCAUUUUUGCACAAUAAAUUUCAAACUAGGGCUCCUUUAUCCCAUGCAAAUAGCAUUAAUCUGCAACAGUAGCCUACUGAACAUUUGAAGGACUUUAUCCCAAAGGUGACGUUGUACUUCAUUACUGGGCAAUGAUAUUUUUUGUAUCCCUGUUCAGAAAGCAUGCCUCAAAUCACAGCUGGCAACUGCUAAACAAAUUUAACAGAUCUUUGCCCAGAAUCAGGAAACCAGCCCAGAAAUGCAGAAUAAGAAUUUGCUAAUUCCUAGUUAAACUGACACUACAGUUUGCUGUCUUCUGUUUAUGCAAACAUGCUGAUUAAUUUUUGCCCACGUGGGGUUGAGAUGGAAGCUAUACAGUUGUAGGAUAAUAUGUCCAGAUAUAAUAUUGCAGGCCAGGAUUCAAUCAGUCUAAUGCUCAUAAGCAAAGCAGUAAUACACUCAAAAAGAAAAAUAAACCAAUUUAUUUCUUCUAGAUGCACUAUUAGUUUUUAUAUCAUUAUGUUACCAUUAGCACAAGCACUGGCUGACAUGCACAGUACAGAUGAGUGAAUCAUACAGUCUUUUUGUGCCAGACAUUGGAAAUGGUUUUAGAAAUAAAGUGGUGGCUGCAGCUAAAGCUAAGGGGUGGGGAUGUGGCUUUCUUGUCCCCUCAUCUAGUCCCCAUCAUUAGGGCAGAUGAUGAAGUCACUUUCUACUCUCUGAAUCUCACCUUGCCACCUAUUGAGACGGCCCAGCUGAGAGAUGGCCCAGUGAGAGCUUAAGGACAAUCAGAGAAUAUGGUGAGCCAUGUUCCUAAAUGGAGAAGAGAAAUUCAGAAGGUUAAGGGGGUAAACCAGUCUCAAAAAAAAUCAGGUAUAGAGAAAAGGAGUGGCAGUUCUAUGGGCUCCUCCAGAUACUUGCACAUAUGCACUAUACACAUAAGACUAUGAAAAUCCUGGGAUCAGCAUUAAAUGGAUUUGGGAAGUUUUGAGCCUCCCAGAAGAGUGGGUUUCUCUCUUUUUAAGGUAGAGAGUUCAUUCCUAUCUUUCUAGACAGGCUAGGCACUAAAAUGAAAGGCUGACCCAAGGCCAGGCAGUGCCUUGAGCCACAUUUGCCCUUGCAAAGUUUCAGUAAUGGCACUGACCUAUGCUCCUGCUCAUGGGUCUGAACACCAAGUAAACUUCAGACAGAAAAAGCUUGUUAGGAUAACAAGCAUAACUUGCCUCAGGGGCUACAGGAGCCAUCUACACUGGGGAAAUGCCAAACCAAUAUCCUGAUUCAUAGACUAUAUGGUGCAACUGCAGAUAAAUGUAGAUAAAUGGUGAAAAACUUCCACUAAACUUCAUUUCAGAUGACUUUUGGCAAUGUCCUUGCUCUUCCUUCCUCUAACUCCCAGUGACAGGCAAAGAAGCCCAGCGAAAACUGUGUGGUCACUUAGCAGUUUGCCAGGAUGAUUUCUUCCUGACAUUGGCUGUCAGCCCAUGCACCUGCUCCCAGCCACACUGUCCCUCCUCAUUACCUAAAUCUGUCAUUUGGCCCCAAAUGAUCUCACUGCCACGAGUGAGAUUGUCUUGUUAUCAGCUAAGGCAAUGGCCCUGGCAAACCUGCACCAUCACCAGCAAAAUAACUGCAUCACAGUCCUCACACUCAGUGGCAACACGAUGACCUUGGAAGAUAAUUGUGGUAAGAACUCCGUGAUAAAAAGUAAGUGGAAAGGUAACUUAGGAAGCAAUGAGACUGAUAUAGUAAGAAUUAAAAUUACACACACCAAGUACCUAAUCUGCAUUAAGCAAGAUGUAGCUUUGCAGAAGCAGGCUCCAGAAUCUCAAAAAUAUGGUUUCUGUUUGAAACAAGCAACAAGAAAUUUUUUUGGCUCUCCAGAAGCUUUUUGAUAUAUGCUGCAAUACUGAUGGUAGUGCAGAGAAGAGAAACCCCAUUUUCUUGUACUGGUGCACACUUGGAAUAACACUGCUUCCCAUUACAGUAAUUUUUUUGCUUUAUUUUGCUUCAGUAGAAAGCAGAAUCUAGAAGAAUGAAUAAUGGAAUAACGUUAGAGCAGUGGUAUUUUUAGCAACUUAUCUCACUACAUUUGUGGCAACGGUUUACAAAGCAAAUUGUAACAUGUAAAUGUAAUUGUAACAUGUAAAUACAAGAUUUGGCAUUAGCAAACAGGUUCUGUGCAAGUUCCUAUCUACCUACAGGAUAGCACUGUCCAAGUAACAGCACAUAAAAGGCUUUCCUCUUUCCCCUUUUUCCCUUACUCCCUUUUUCAAGAGCCCAUUCCAUGCAAGUUACCUGCUAACUGCAAAGCACCUAACUUGAAACAGCUUUGUGGGAAAUCUCCAUUUGCUCCUUUGCAGGACAAUCUCUCACUGACCAAAGCAGAGAGCAGGCACCUCACUGUAGAAUCUCUUCCACACACCACACCUACAUUGACUUCCCACCCCUCCUAGAUACUGUCAUGGAUCCAGAGCUGCACACUGCUGGGAGUUAGAACAUCCUGGGCAAUGGUUGCUACACACUUGCCCCUUCCUUACACAAGUUCACAUCUUGCUCCUGGCCAUUGCCAGAGACCAAACACUGGGCUAGACAAGUAUUUAAUGUAACCCAGAACUGCUGCUCUUAUGCAACUCCCCUGGCAUAAGCACCCAGCUAGGGAGGUUUUGCAGUGCUGACAUUAAAGCUGUAAACUGCCCUGGCCUCCGGAAUUAUCUACUUCAAAAAUAACUCAUUUCAACCUCCAGCAAGUCUUCAGCACCCACACAAGGUGCCAUUGGUGGACCUUGGGAAGAAACUUUGGGAAGAGAACACCUUCAUUAAGGGACAACACAGCUGUCACUCAGCUUCAAAAUCAAAACUCGAGUGGGUUUUUCCAUUUUCUUUCCUCCAACACAAUGAAUAUCCUGCCAGUCCUUUCCCUUGAAAUAUCAAUAAAACAAGUUUAUAUUAAUGACUGACAGAGAAUGACAAGAUGGCAAAUGUCAGCUGUAGCACAGGAAUAAAGUUAUUAAUGGGAUAUAUGCCUGGAGCAAUUGAAGACAGGAGAGUGAGGACAUAACCCAGGCAAUUCUUUUCCGUGUACAAGUAAUUUGCAUUUAUGUGUACAAGAAAUUUGCUUGCAUUUCUAACUCUCUCUUGUGACUUUUUUUCAGCACCAUUGCUCUCCAUCUGGGUUUACAUGCACCUGCUUCACAGUUUGCCUCUAGGUAAGGGAUGCACUUUAUACUGAGGUUCUUGCAUGAUAAUCUUUCUCCUGAUCUGGAUUCCAGAUUCAACUCAUCUUAUAUGCUGGCUUCAUGUGAAGAUGUAAAAGCUAUAUGAGGGCCAUUGUUUUCAUCAGUUUUUCAGAUUUCUCAAAUAUUGGAGUAGUUGGUUCAUAAGGACAGGACAAAUGCUAUUUCACUAUUUUUUAUUUGCUAUAAUCAGUCAGUAUCUGAAAUAAAACCAAACAUACCUUGGAUUGCUUUUAUUUUUUUUUUUUUCCUUUAAAGGAAUAACCAGCACAAUACUAAGCCACAAUUAAUAUCAAGGUUAGGUACAACACUGGCAUUAACAGAGCCUCCUUGAGCUGAGGAAGGCUAACUAAAGGAUGCACAAAUGCAGACAGGAUUUCUUCAAGGCACACAUUCCACUAAAGAAAAUACUCCCACUUCAUAGUGCAGGCAGGCAAAAGCCAGACUUUUUAUUUCAGUUUAAAAUAACAAAUAUUCACCUACAAUCACAGUAUACUGCUUAGUUUAUCGCUUCUGCUUUGAAUUCUGUGCUUUCACUUCACGUGUCUACAUUUUGCAUUUGUGUACACGCUGCAGAAGUAACUUUGUAUAUCAUUUAACAUCUGUGCAUAUCUUUUAGAACUUAAUAUUACAUGAAAAUUAAAAUAAAUUUUGAAUUUUAAGGUACUGAAAACAAUCAAUAAAGUUCCACGGAAAAAAAAUAGUAUAAAUGUUUCUUAUAGUACAGUACUCAUAAUUUUACAUCAGAGUCAUUUUAAUGCCAUAGUUUUCAAAUAUUGACUGUAUAAAGAGGAGACAAGGGGAAAAAUUAUCUAAAAUGCCUUUCCUAAGUCUGUUAGACUCUGGUGAUUUAUGAUAUAUGUACAGUAUAUAAAUAAAUUUAUGUAUAUAUGUACAUAUAUAUUGGUUAACAUUCGUUAUAAAUAGAACUGUGUUAACCUAAGCAGUAUAAAAAUAGCCACUUUCCUGGGAACAUGCAAACACAAUAUGCUCUCACCUAACCUAUAAAACUCAAAACAACCAAAACCUUUAGUUCUGAUUUUCUACAAAUAUAAAUUUCAAUUGAAGACUUUCAGCUGAUUUAACCAUAAAGUAAGUUUUUCCAGUAAAGAUAUAAAAAACUGUUUGAUGCUAGCUAUAAUUAAGCUCAAACACAGUAUAUUUUGGGUUAUUUACUUUCAAGUAUUUUUCCCACGUGCGCUAAAUCUAGACACGCUGCAUUUGUUUUCUUUACAGUAAAUUAUUAUUCAGCUCUAAACACUAAAAGCCAAAUUACAGGCAAUCUGGCAUGCUUGCACUGCAGGUAAAAGGCUCUCCUCUACACUGUUCCUAUGUGGGAGGCUGUCCUAUUAUGGCUAUUUGUGCUCCAGAUCUUUUGUUCAUUGCAAAGCCUUAUCAAGAUUCCCCUAUCAUAAGAUUCUUAAGGCCAGAAGAGAAAGUACUACAACCACUUAAACGUCAUCUCAUGCUCACUGAAAUUCACUCUGAGGUACCUGCAUUCAGCACAGUGACUGGUAGCUGGACUAAAACACCUCUGCUGU